GAUGAACGCUAGCGACAGGCUUAACACAUGCAAGUCGAGGGGCAACAGGGAGUGUGCUUGCACACUCUGCUGGCGACCGGCGCACGGGUGAGUAACACGUAUGCAACCUGCCCUUGUCAGGGGGAUAAGCGAGGGAAACCUCGUCUAAUACCGCAUAUAUGGUUUUGAGGCAUCUCAUAAUCAGGAAAGAAUUAUCGGACAAGGAUGGGCAUGCGGGACAUUAGGUAGUUGGGGGGCGUAACGGGACCACCAAGCCGACGAUGUCUAGGGGUUCUGAGAGGAAGGUCCCCCCANACUGGAACUGAGACACGGUCCAGACUCCUACGGGAGGCAGCAGUGAGGAAUA
rnacentral:rRNA from 1 species